GUCCCCGUCGUCUAGUCGGCCCAGGACAACGGCCUUUCACGCCGUCAACACCGGUUCAAAUCCGGUCGGGGACGCCA
rnacentral:tRNA from 1 species